rnacentral:rRNA from 1 species
AACGAACGCUGGCGGCAGGCUUAACACAUGCAAGUCGAGCGCCCCGCAAGGGGAGCGGCAGACGGGUGAGUAACGCGUGGGAAUCUACCCAUCUCUACGGAAUAACGCAUGGAAACGUGUGCUAAUACCGUAUACGUCCUUCGGGAGAAAGAUUUAUCGGAGAUGGAUGAGCCCGCGUUGAAUUAGCUAGUUGGUGGGGUAAAGGCCUACCAAGGCGACGAUCCAUAGCUGGUCUGAGAGGAGGAUCAGCCACACUGGGACUGAGACACGGCCCAGACUCCUACGGGAGGCAGCAGUGGGGAAUAUUGGACAAUGGGCGCAAGCCUGAUCCAGCCAUGCCGCGUGAGUGAUGAAGGCCCUAGGGUUGUAAAGCUCUUUCACCGGUGAAGAUAAUGACGGUAACCGGAGAAGAAGCCCCGGCUAACUUCGUGCCAGCCGCCGCCGUAAGAC